ensembl:lncRNA
AGGGCUUUGGGGUCCUGGGUCAAUGAGCUCGGCCUCCUGUCCACAUGCGGGGCUAACGGCUGUGCCUAGUCGCGGAGCCACUGGUUCACAGGUCACCUAGGAAAGUCCCAGGCCGCCCUGGCACCUGCGACACCCUAGUGCAUGCGCGGUGCAGCCGGCUGGUGUGACUUGUGACCACGUGAGUCUACGCUGAGCUCCUUGAGGGCUAGAUGCUCAGUAAAUGCUGAAGGAGGGAGCCUAGUUGGUGCUCAACAAUUGCUUAUCCUCUGGGUCAGUUUCCAGAGAUUAUCCCUCGGGCAGGGAACAUGAGAAAAUAACAUUUCUGCCCCCUGAGAACUACAUUUGAAGAAGGCGGUAGGGGCUGGAAGGGCCCAGCUUUUUCUCUGUCUUCUGAGUGCAGUUUGCCACCUCACUGUGAAGCCUUCCCUCAUUAUCCGCAUUGUGUUAGCUCACCCUCAGGAACACUCCGGAAGCCCUCCUCCUUUGCUCUUCUCACUAUCUGUGAGACUAUGUGCAUAAUGCUAAUUUCACUUAUCCUUCUCUUCCCUGAAAUGCCAGCUCCAGGAGAACAGGGACUUUGGUCUGCUUUGUUCAUUAUACCCAACUCUGAGCUUAGAACUUAUGUCAUAGUAGGUUUUCAGUAAAUAACUGUUGAUGGAAAGGUGAAUCCUCUUUGUAUCUCCAAGGAGAUCGUGGAGUCUCCUGCAUCUUUUCAAUGCCUGGUACAAAAAGAGCCUCCCCACACAUGACUGGAUCUUGGACUUCUCAGCCUCCAGAAAUGAUUGCAGGUUAGGACUUCAGAGCAAGUGUCAGCUGGAUGGUCUUUCAGUUCCACGCAGUAUUAACUGAAGUCACACAGAAAUGUAUCUGGCGAAGGUGGAUGACCUAGUCUAGAGGGUCUCAAGUGGCUUCACCAAAGUCACAGUCCAUUCACUUAUGAAUUUGGGGAGAACACAAACACUGAGACCACAGCAACCCAGCCUGAGCCUUGCAGGGAUGAUGGGAAGUCAGGGCUCAGCUGGGGCUAUCAGAGCUGCUCCCCAGGCUGCCUCAUCACAGUGGUUUCAGGAAGGCAGACUUACAUGGAGGCCCGGGCUCCAAAAAUCUCCAGAUCCAAGGCCUGUGACAGCCCCUGAGGAUCCAGAAUGUAACUUUCACAACAUUUUAUUGUUCAGGCCAGCCCAGAGUCAAAGGAAUUAUACUCUGCCUCUCAGUGGGGGAAACAGCAAAGAAUUUCCAGACUUCAUGGAUCUACCACAGUUUUUCUAUAUAAGAAAAGACAAUGCCAAUACACCCUUGUUUAUAGCAGUACAAUUUGUAAUAGCUAAAUCUUGGAAACAACCCAAAUGCCCAUCAAUGGAUGGACAAAGAAGAUUUUUUAUAUAUAUACAAUGAAGUACUACUCUAUCAUAAAGCAAGAUAAACUUGAGACAUUUCUAGGUAAAUGGAUGCACCUUGAGACCAUACUCUUAAAUGAAAUGAAUCAAACACUCAUGUUUAAGUAUCGCAUUGUUUCUCUGGUGUGAGAAACCAAAAGGGUAAAUAAAGACCAAAAUGUAUAACAGAUAUUGGAAAAUAGGAAGAAAAUGUUCAAAUGGGAAGGAGAACAAUGGAGAGGGGAGGGGAAAGGGAAGGAAAAGAGAAGAAAAGAGAA